UAGGGAAUCUUCCACAAUGGCGCAGCCUGAUGGAGCAACACCGCGUGAGUGAAGAAGGGUUUCGGCUCGUAAAGCUCUGUUGUUAAAGAAGAACACGUAUGAGAGUAACUGUUCAUACGUUGACGGUAUUUAACCAGAAAGUCACGGCUAACUACGUGCCAA
rnacentral:rRNA from 1 species